GUCGUGCUGCAGCACGUACUGCAGCCAGAAGGGCAGCGAGCAGAUGUAGAAGAGGUCGGCCACCGUCAGGUUGCACAGAAGGUGUACUAGCCCACCAACUCCAAUUCAACUAGAAUAUCUGAACGGCUGGACAUGAUGGCUUACACCUGUAAGCCCAGCACUUUGGGAGGUGGGGAUCGCUCGAGCUCAAGAGUUCAAGACCAG
rnacentral:lncRNA from 10 species